rnacentral:tRNA from 1 species
GCGGGUGUGCUGGAACUGGCAGACAGGCACGUUUGAGGUGCGUGUGUUGUAUGACAUACGGGUUCAAGUCCCGUCACCCGCA